CGGGAUAUGGCGCAGUUUGGUAGCGCGCGUCGUUCGGGACGACGAGGUCGCAGGUUCAAAUCCUGUUAUCCCGACCA
rnacentral:tRNA from 10 species